rnacentral:lncRNA from 1 species
AGUCAUAAUAGUUCUUGCAGCUUGGAGUGUGCCGCCAUCCUCCCCAAACACAUCUCGACUCUGAAAGUGACCCUAUGAAGGCUAUGACUGCUAAGCAGCAGGCAGAACAGGCAACCAUGGAGAAGAUUGUAUGCUGAGAUGGAAGACCCAAAAGAUUGAAGCAGCCUGGAUAACUCGGGUACCACACAGAGGACAACUGCCCUAGAGAGUUGCCUUGACCCGCAAAAGACAUUGCCUGAGAUGAAAAUAAACUUUUAU